CUCCUAAUUGGGAUUAUUUCAAGAGAUGGGCCAAGUUUGUUCGAACCAAAGGACUUAAGGUCCAAGUAAGAUUAAUGGGCUUAAAGAAUUGUAAGAAAGCCCACUCGUGAGCAAGGCUACCCGUACAUAUGUCAAACAUGCGGCUCGACCUGCACAACCCAUGAAAACACCUGCGUGCGCACACAGACCUCAAACACGAGCAUCUGAGAAUGCUCACGGACGCGGCCCUCAAGGCCUACAUUAAACCGACAAUGCGCGUGCAGGCCCAAGGUGCUGAAUGCGCACAUUCGCACGGAGGGGCCUGAAGCAAACCCAAACAUGCUAACCCACAAUUCUUACGAGCCUUUUCCUGUGCAGCCCGUGCGGACCAGCCAGCCCCGCCCAUUCGGGUGACCCAAACCCAGCCGACCCUUUCACUUUUUAAU
rnacentral:lncRNA from 1 species